GAUGAACGCUGGCGGCGUGCCUAAUACAUGCAAGUCGAGCGAACGGACGAGAAGCUUGCUUUUCUGAUGUUAGCGGCGGACGGGUGAGUAACACGUGGAUAACCUACCUAUAAGACUGGGAUAACUUCGGGAAACCGGAGCUAAUACCGGAUAAUAUUUUGAACCGCAUGGUUCAAAAGUGAAAGACGGUCUUGCUGUCACUUAUAGAUGGAUCCGCGCUGCAUCAGCUAGUUGGUAAGGUAACGGCUUACCAAGGCAACGAUGCAUAGCCGACCUGAGAGGGUGAUCGGCCACACUGGAACUGAGACACGGUCCAGACUCCUACGGGAGGCAGCAGUAGGGAAUCUUCCGCAAUGGGCGAAAGCCUGACGGAGCAACGCCGCGUGAGUGAUGAAGGUCUUCGGAUCGUAAAACUCUGUUAUUAGGGAAGAACAUAUGUGUAGGUAACUGUGCACAUCUUGACGGUACCUAAUCAGAAAGCCACGGCUAACUACGUG
rnacentral:rRNA from 1 species